rnacentral:rRNA from 1 species
GAUGAACGCUGGCGGCGUGCCUAAUACAUGCAAGUCGAGCGAACGGACGAGAAGCUUGCUCCUCUGAUGUUAGCGGCGGACGGGUGAGUAACACGUGGAUAACCUACCUAUAAGACUGGGAUAACUUCGGGAAACCGGAGCUAAUACCGGAUAAUAUUUUGAACCGCAUGGUUCAAUAGUGAAAGACGGUUUUGCUGUCACUUAUAGAUGGAUCCGCGCUGCAUUAGCUAGUUGGUAAGGUAACGGCUUACCAAGGCAACGAUGCAUAGCCGACCUGAGAGGGUGAUCGGCCACACUGGAACUGAGACACGGUCCAGACUCCUACGGGAGGCAGCAGUAGGGAAUCUUCCGCAAUGGGCGAAAGCCUGACGGAGCAACGCCGCGUGAGUGAUGAAGGUCUUCGGAUCGUAAAACUCUGUUAUUAGGGAAGAACAUAUGUGUAAGUAACUGUGCACAUCUUGACGGUACCUAAUCAGAAAGCCACGGCUAACUACGUG